rnacentral:rRNA from 1 species
GUCUAAGGCCAUAUCACCCUCAACCUGCCCAAUCUCAUCUGGUCUCAGAAGCUAAACAAGGUCAGGCCUGGUUAGUGCUUGGACA